CCCCAUGAAGUUGAGCAGAUGGCUCUGUUAGAUAUAAAAACCAUGCUACAAUCGAUGGGGAAGGACAUAUCGUCAUUCCCUCUUCCAGAAAUUGAUGACUCAUAUGAUGCCCCAGAUAAUGAGGCUAGGGAGAUCAUAGAGGAGUCCACGAUCGAGGUGGACCCAGAACACAUUGGCUUGUCAUCUUUUCUAAACCCAGAACAGAGAUAUGCAUAUGAUGAGAUACUUGCGACAAUUAAUAGUGGCCAGGGAGGUGUGUUCUUUGUCGAUGGACCAGGAGGCACAGGAAAAACAUAUCUGUACAAAGCUCUACUUGCAAAAGUACGUGGUGAGGGUCAGAUAGCUGUUGCAAUAGCGACGUCGGGUGUUGCUUCAUCCAUCUUGGCUGGAGGGAGGACUGCACACUCGAGGUUUAAAAUACCACUAAACAUUGAAGACGGUGGGGUUUGUAGUUUCACCAAGCAAAGUGGGAUAGCUAAGCUUCUUAUGAGGGCGUCCCUCAUAAUUUGGGAUGAGGCUUCCAUGACAAAGCGCCAGGCAGUCGAGGCCCUGGACAAUAGCAUGAGGGACAUCAUGGGUCAACCUGACCUGCCGUUUGGUGGAAAGACGGUUGUCUUUGGGGGAGACUUUAGACAAGUGCUUCCUGUUGUUCGUAAGGGAACAAGGUCACAGAUAACUGAUGCGACCCUACGUAAGUCUUAUCUUUGGAAUAGUAUGAGACAACUAAGACUGGUCCGUAAUAUGAGGGCUCAGGUUGAUCCAUGGUUUGCUGAUUAUCUUCUAUGUGUUGGGAAUGGCACCGAAGAUACGGUGGAUGAUGGUUACAUACGACUUCCAGAUGAGAUUUGCAUACCAAACACUGGUGAUGAUGCCUCUGAUAUUGACAAGCUUAUUGAAAGUGUGUUCCCGAUGCUGCAAGAUGAAAACAUCUUAGAUCCAAACUACAUAACAUCUCGAGCAAUUUUGUCAACUCGGAACGAGUACAUUGACAAGAUCAACAUGAGGAUGAUUGAGAGAUUUCCUGGGGAGGAGAUGGUAUACCACAGUUUUGAUCGGGCUGAGGAUGAUCCAUACAACUACUAUCCUGCAGAAUUCUUAAAUUCAUUAACACCUAACGGGCUACCUCCCCACAUCCUAAAGUUGAAGAUUAAUUUCCCUAUUAUAUUGUUACGGAACAUUGACCCAGCAAAUGUGUUGUGCAAUGGGACUAGGUUGGUUGUCCGGGGAUUCAUGAGGAAUGCAAUUAAUGCUGAGAUUGUGCUGGGCCAGCAUGCUGGUAAGAGGGUGUUCCUUCCUCGAAUUCCACUCUGCCCGUCAGACGACGAGAUGUUUCCAUUUAGGUUCAAGAGGAAGCAAUUCCCCGUUAGAAUUAGCUUCGCUAUGACCAUUAACAAGGCACAAGCACAAACUAUACCAAAUGUUGGUGUAUACCUCCCUGAACCUGUAUUUUCACAUGGCCAACUCUAUGUUGCUCUUUCUAGAGCUACGUCUAGAAGUAAUCUGAAGAUUCUUACUGUCCCGGGUAAGGAAGAGGAAGGCCGGUCCAACUCCAUUGCAAAAUUUACAAAGAACAUAGUCUACAAAGAA
rnacentral:rRNA from 1 species